rnacentral:rRNA from 1 species
CCUACGGGAGGCAGCAGUAAGGGAUAUUGCACAAUGGGCGCAAGCCUGAUGCAGCAACGCCGCGUGCAGGAAGCAGGGCUUCGGCUCGUAAACUGCUUUUCGGGAGGACGAGAGUGACGGUACUCCCGGAAGAAGUCUCGGCUAACUACGUGCCAGCAGCCGCGGUAAAACGUAGGAGGCAAGCGUUAUCCGGAUUUACUGGGCGUAAAGGGCGUGCAGGUGGUGGUUUAAGUGGCGCGUGAAAGCGCUCGGCUCAACCGGGCGAGGGCGUGCCAGACUGGGGCACUAGAAACAGGCAGAGGAACGUGGAAUUCCGGGUGGAGUGGUGAAAUGCGUAGAGAUCCGGAGGAACUCCCGUGGCGAAGGCGAGGUUCUGGGCCUGCUUUGACACUCAGACGCGAAAGCAUGGGGAGCGAACGGGAUUAGAUACCCGUGUAGUC